GUUUGAUCCUGGCUCAGGACGAACGCUGGCGGCGUGCCUAACACAUGCAAGUCGAACGAGGUCCAUGCAGUGGCAACACUGCGGAAGACCUAGUGGCGAACGGGUGAGUAACACGUGAGGAACCUGCCCCGAAGACCGGGAUAACCCUCCGAAAGGAGAGCUAAUACCGGAUACCCCCACCGGAUCGCAUGAUCUGGUGAGGAAAUGGAUUCCGCUUCGGGAGGGCCUCGCGGCCUAUCAGCUUGUUGGUGGGGUAACGGCCCACCAAGGCAUCGACGGGUAGCUGGUCUGAGAGGACGAUCAGCCACACUGGGACUGAGACACGGCCCAGACUCCUACGGAGGCAGCAGUGGGGAAUCUUGCGCAAUGGGCGAAAGCCUGACGCAGCAACGCCGCGUGGGGGAUGAAGGCUCUCGGGUUGUAAACCCCUUUCAGCAGGGACGAAUCAAGACGGUACCUGCAGAAGAAGCCCCGGCUAACUACGUGCCAGCAGCCGCGGUAACACGUAGGGGCAAGCGUGUCCGGUA
rnacentral:rRNA from 1 species